rnacentral:sRNA from 1 species
UACCCUUUGAUGCUAAAGACUUCCCGAGAACCAUGCUUAGUGACCACAUAGAGGGAAGGCUUUUGAAGCGUCUCGGUCAAAUUGAAAGGAAUAAGAUUCCUGAGGGUUUUGUAGCAGACAAUCUUUCUGUUAGGGUUGUGCUAUCUGUGGACAAACAUAUUGAAGUGAAGAAACAAUUUCUGGAUAUCUUUGAGGGGGAUAAUUAUCCUGCAGAGUUUUCUUACGC